rnacentral:rRNA from 1 species
CCGUGCCCAAGAGAUCGGGAUAACACCUGGAAACAGAUGCUAAUACCGGAUAACAACAGAUGAUGCCUAUCAACUGUUUAAAAGAUGGUUCUGCUAUCACUCUUGGAUGGACCUGCGGUGCAUUAGCUAGUUGGUAGGGUAACGGCCUACCAAGGCUAUGAUGCAUAGCCGAGUUGAGAGACUGAUCGGCCACAUUGGGACUGAGACACGGCCCAAACUCCUACGGGAGGCAGCAGCU